CAGCGCCGCGGUAAUACAGAGGAUGCAAGCGUUAUCCGGAAUGAUUGGGCGUAAAGCGUCUGUAGGUGGCUUUUCAAGUCCGCCGUCAAAUCCCAGGGCUCAACCCUGGACAGGCGGUGGAAACUACCAAGCUAGAGUACGGUAGGGGCAGAGGGAAUUUCCGGUGGAGCGGUGAAAUGCGUUGAGAUCGAAAAGAACACCAACGACGAAAGCACUCUGCUGGGUCGACACUGACACUGAGAGACGAAAGCUAGGGGAGCAAAUGGGAUUAGAUACCCGUGUAGUCCCUGUCUCUUAUACA
rnacentral:rRNA from 1 species